rnacentral:lncRNA from 1 species
AAAAAAAGAAGACAAUAUAACAUUUAAAAAUAGCACUUCCCAUUUCAAAGUUACCAAACAAUAUUCAGCAACAAACACAAUCCAAAUACCAAAAACAAAGGUACAAGCCUAUACCAACCAGCAAACACACCAAUAUAAGUACUAGGACAUAAACUAAAACUAACUUAGGUCCUCUACAAUUUCCUCCUUUUGGGGCAAAAUAAGUUCACUAUCAGCUAGCAAGUAUGCUUGUUCAACCAAAGGAGGGUCGGAGUUUGUCAUCUGGAACUAGCUUAUCCAACAGGGGCAAGCAAAUGCUAGAGCUGGAGAAACAAUCUUCGACGUAUAUUGACAGCCACCCUAACUUAAUUCAUGUCACCUUCCU